GAUGAAGAACGUAGCGAAAUGCGAUAAGUAAUGUGAAUUGCAGAAUUCAGUGAAUCAUCGAAUCUUUGAACGCACAUUGCGCCCGCCAGUAUUCUGGCGGGCAUGCCUGUUCGAGCGUCAUUUCAACCAUCAAGCCCCCGGCUUGUGUUGGGGACCUGCGGCUGCCCGCAGGCCCUGAAAACCAGUGGCGGGCUCGCUGUCACUCCGAGCGUAGUAGCAUAUAUCUCGCUCAGGGCGUGCUGCGGGUUCCGGCCGUUAAAAGCCUUUUUUUACCCAAGGUUGACCUCGGAUCAGGUAGGAAGACCCGCUGAACUUAAGCAUAUCAAUAAGCGGAGG
rnacentral:misc_RNA from 1 species